GCUCUCAUAGCUCAGCUGGAAGAGCGCAAGACUGAAGUUCUUGAGGCCACCUGUUCGAACCAGGUUGGGAGCA
rnacentral:tRNA from 1 species